rnacentral:rRNA from 1 species
GUACAGAGGUCCCGAGCGUUGUUCGGAUUUACUGGCGUAAAGGGGUGCGAGUAGGCGGUGGGGUAAGGUUUGAGGUUGAAAGCUCCGGGCUCAACCCGGAAAAUGCCUUGAAAACUAUCCGGCUAGAGGGUUGGAGGGGAGACUGGAAUUCUCGGUGUAGCAGUGAAAUGCGUAGAUCUCGAGAGGAACACCAGUGGCGAAGGCGACUUCCUGGCCUGUUCUUGACGCUGAGGCGACGAAAGCUAGGGGAGCAAACGGG